CACCUAAUGCACAUUGCACCUGGCUGACAUCACCGCGAUCCUCCGCAGUGCAACUAGAGAUUGAGUGUGUUCACUGUGUAUUCAUUUAUUAAUACAAUGUUUUUUAUAUUUAUCUGAGUGUUUGUAUGUGUAUUUAUCUGUAUGUGUGUCAGUCUGUGCCCCUGUAUCUCUGUGUAUGUGUGUCAGUAUCUGUAUGAGUGUUAUUCUGUGUGUAUGUGUAUCUGCAUGUAAUGUCGGUAUGUGCAUCUUUGUGUCAGUAAGUUUGUUUGUGUUUGUAU